AUUGAACGCUGGCGGCAGGCCUAACACAUGCAAGUCGAACGAGUGGCGGACGGGUGAGUAAUGUCUGGGAAACUGCCUGAUGGAGGGGGAUAACUACUGGAAACGGUAGCUAAUACCGCAUACCAUCAGAUGUGCCCAGAUGGGAUUAGCUAGGUGGUGGGGUAAAGGCUCACCAAGGCGACGAUCCCUAGCUGGUCUUAGAGUAUGACCAGCCACACUGUAACUGAGACACGGUCCAGACUCCGUCGUGAGGCAGCAGUGGUGAAUAGUGCACAAUGGGCGCAAGCCUGAUGCAGCCAUGCCGCGUGUAUGAAGAAGGCCUUCGGGUUGUAAAGUACUUUCAGCGGGGAGGCGUUACCCGCAGAAGAAGCACCGGCUAACUCCGUGCCAGCAGGCGCGGUAAUUC
rnacentral:rRNA from 1 species